UUAUCGGUACGGGUUGUGGGAGCAAGAUCCCGGAGAUGGAUUCUGAGACAUGAAUCCAGGCCCUACGGGGCGCAGCAGGCGCGCAAACUUUACAAUGCGAGCAAUCGUGAUAAGGAAACCCUGAGUGCCUGUCGAUGCAGGCUGUUCAUAUAUUUAAAUCGUAUGUGAAGAAAGGGCAGGGCAAGACCGGUGCCAGCCGCCGCGGUAAUACCGGCUGCUCGAGUGAUGGCCACUAUUACUGGGUUUAAAGCGUCCGUAGCUUGAUUUUUAGGUCUCUUGGGAAAUCUUUUGGCUUAACCACAAGGUGUCUAAGAGAUACCGGGAAUCUUGGAACUGGGAGAGGUAAGCCGUACUUCGGGGGUAGGAGUGAAAUCUUGUAAUCCUCGAGGGACGACCUAUGGCGAAGGCAGCUUACCAGAACAGCUUCGACAGUGAGGGACGAAAGCUGGGGGAGCAAACGGGAUUAGAUACCCCGGUAGUCCCAGCCGUAAACAAUGUGUGUUAGGUGUGUCGGUUACCACGCGUAACUGAUGUGUCGAAGAGAAAUCGUGAAACGCACCACCUGGGAAGUACGGUCGCAAGGCUGAAACUUAAAGGAAUUGGCGGGGGAGCACCACAACAGG
rnacentral:rRNA from 1 species